UACGUAGGGUGCAAGCGUUAAUCGGAAUUACUGGGCGUAAAGCGUGCGCAGGCGGUUGUGCAAGACCGAUGUGAAAUCCCCGGGCUUAACCUGGGAAUGGCAUUGGUGACUGCACGGCUAGAGUGUGUCAGAGGGGGGUAGAAUUCCACGUGUAGCAGUGAAAUGCGUAGAGAUGUGGAGGAACACCGAUGGCGAAGGCAGCCCCCUGGGUCAAGACUGACGCUCAUGCACGAAAGCGUGGGGAGCAAACAGG
rnacentral:rRNA from 1 species